rnacentral:misc_RNA from 1 species
CGCCGAAGGUGGGGCUAAUGACUGGGGUGAAGUCGUAACAAGGUAGCCGUACCGGAAGGUGCGGCUGGAUCACCUCCUAACAGGGAGACAAAAUCAGAUUGUGUUUACUAGAUAGUUUUACUUUUAGUUCAUAGUCCUGUCACCUUAGGUCGAUCGGUACCUCAGAGUUUUCUUUAUAAGUGGUUGAUAGCUCAACCUAAUAUUAUUUAGCUUUACUUUCAGUUCCUAAACUUGUCUAGGUCACACCCAACAAGGGUAAUCCUGGGCCAUUAGCUCAGGUGGUUAGAGCGCACCCCUGAUAAGGGUGAGGUCCCUGGUUCAAGUCCAGGAUGGCCCAUUCGAUGUUGGGGGUAUAGCUCAGUUGGUAGAGCGCCUGCUUUGCAAGCAGGAUGUCAGCGGUUCGAGUCCGCUUACCUCCACUGAUCGACCUCCUGAUAACGGAAUCCAUGGAUAUCUUUUUUGGUUAAUUAUGACUUAGACAUUGUUCUGUUUUGAACGAACCUAGCUUCUUGUCAUUCACUUUUGUUGAUAAGACGCUGGGCUCUCUGCAUUUUUUUAAUUGCAGCUAAGUUCAGUAGAACCUUGACAACUGCAUAGGUAAGUCUGGAAAAAAUAAAGCAUCUCAUGGAUGCAUUAACUCUAAUUUCCUUUUAAUUUCAGCUUUUUUUUAUUAGCUGAUAUUAAUUUGUUUUUUGAGUUUAUUGUUUAAUUCUUGAGCAAGAGUCGAGACUCUAUAUCAAUUCGAUUAGUUGAUAUAGAGAUUAAUGGUCAAGCUACAAAGGGCUCA